rnacentral:rRNA from 1 species
UAAUCCGACCUAGGCUCAUCUGAUAGCGCAAGGCCCGAAGGCCCCCUGCUUUCUCCCGUAGGACGUAUGCGGUAUUAGCGUCCGUUUCCGAACGUUAUCCCCCACUAUCAGGCAGAUUCCUAGGUAUUACUCACCCGUCCGCCGCUCUCAAGAGAAGCAAGCUUCUCUCUACCGCUCGACUUGCAUGUGUUAGGCCUGCCGCCAGCGUUCAAUCUGAGCCAGGAUCAAACUCU